AACAUUCCACAACAGCAACUUUAAAGGCUCAUUUGGUCAAUGCAAAGACGUGUAGAAGCUUGCCUUUGUGCUCAUGGUGGCCAUACGCGUUACUGUACACUGUUUCACUGACCAAAACUGACUUG